AUUGAACGCUGGCGGCAUGCCUUACACAUGCAAGUCGAGCGCGAAAGGGGGGCAACCCCCGAGUAGAGCGGCGGACGGGUGAGUAAUACAUCGGAACGUACCCAGUAGUGGGGGACAACCUCGAGAAAUCGAGGCUAAUACCGCAUACGACCCACGGGUGAAAGCGGGGGACCGCAAGGCCUCGCGCUAUUGGAGCGGCCGAUGUCCGAUUAGCUAGUUGGCGGGGUAAGAGCCCACCAAGGCGACGAUCGGUAGCUGGUCUGAGAGGACGACCAGCCACACUGGGACUGAGACACGGCCCAGACUCCUACGGGAGGCAGCAGUGGGGAAUUUUGGACAAUGGGGGCAACCCUGAUCCAGCCAUGCCGCGUGCGGGAAGAAGGCCUUCGGGUUGUAAACCGCUUUCGGCCGGAACGAAAUCGCCCGGGUGAACAUCCCGGGUGGAUGACGGUACCGGAAGAAGAAGCACCGGCUAACUACGUGCCAGCCGCCGCGGUAACAC
rnacentral:rRNA from 1 species